rnacentral:rRNA from 1 species
CCAAAAGAAUCUGGGAACAUGCUUUCAGAUUCGCCCAAGGAUGAGACUGCGGCCGAUCAGGUUGUUGGUGGGGUAACGGCCUACCAAGCCUAUGACCGGUACGGGCCCUGAGAGCGGUAGCCCGGAGAUGGGCACUGAGACAAGGGCCCAGGCCCUACGGGGCGCAGCAGUCGCGAAAACUUCGCAAUAGGCGAAAGCUUGACGAGGCCAUCCCGAGUGCCAUCUGCUGAGGAUGGCUUUUACCUAGUGUAGAUAGCUGGGGGAAUAAGGAGAGGGCAAGUCUGGUGUCAGCCGCCGCGGUAAUACCAGCUCUCCGAGUUGUGGGGAUGUUUAUUGGGCCUAAAGCAUCCGUAGCCGGCUGGGCAAGUCCUCUGUUAAACCCAGCGAUCAAUCGUUGGCUUGCGGGGGAUACUGUCCGGCUAGGGGGCGGGAGAGGCCGUCGGUAUUCUCGGGGUAGGGGUGAAAUCCUAUAAUCCCGGGAGGACCACCAGUGGCGAAGGCUGUCGGCUAGAACGCGCCCGACGGUGAGGGAUGAAAGCUGGGGGAGCGAACCGGAUUAGAUACCCGGGUAGUCCCAGCUGUAAACGAUGCAGGCUAGGUGUUAGGGCGGCUACGUGCCGCUCUAGUGCCGCAGGGAAGCUGUUAAGCCUGCCGCCUGGGGAGUACGGCCGCAAGGCUGAAACUUAAAGGAAUUGGCGGGGGAGCACCACAAGGGGUGAAGCUUGCGGUUUAAUUGGAGUCAACGCCGGG